CACUUAUUUUGGACCGGAGGG
rnacentral:miRNA from 1 species